rnacentral:misc_RNA from 1 species
GAUGAAGAACGCAGCGAAAUGCGAUAAGUAGUGUGAAUUGCAGAAUUCAGUGAAUCAUCGAAUCUUUGAACGCACAUUGCGCCCCUUGGUAUCCCGAGGGGCAUGCCUGUUCGAGCGUCAUUUCACCACUCAAGCCUGGCUUGGUGGUGGGCGACGUCCCCUUUAGGGACGCGCCUCGAAACGCUCGGCGGCGUGGCACCGGCUUUAAGCGUAGCAGAAUCUUUCGCUUUGGAAGUCGGGGCCCCGCCUGCCGGAAUACCUACUCGUAAGGUUGACCUCGGAUCAGGCAGGGAUACCCGCUGAACUUAAGCAUAUCAAUAAGCGGAGGA